CUCCAAGAGCACGUGCACGGGCUCCCCGUGUGCCUGGCGUGCCAGAUUCUUCUCCUGCAGCUCCCGGAUCUCCAGGGUUAAUGCUCCGCUCAGAAGGCUGAGAAGUGCUGCCUCUCCACUUUGUUUAAACAGUGCUGGAGUGAUCCAUCCCUUAAAGGUUUGGUGGAACCUGAGGGGCCAACCUCAGCCUGCAGCUGGCACCUGAAAAGAAGGCCUCAGUGACUCAGAUGAUUGAUCCCAGCAGGGCAGUUUCCGUGGAGCCGACCAUAAGCCUCAGAGAUGCAGACUCCCACGUCCUUGGGGUGGGACUCUCCCUCCCUCCAUCCUGGAUCUUCUUGCUGGUCGAGCCUAGCCCGCCAGAGAGGAGGAUCACAUGUCGGAGUGUAUGUGUCUGUUGUCUGUUUGGGCAGCUGGGUCUCCCCCCGCCCCAGCCUCCGCCGCAGCUCUCUGCUGUUCUGUCCGUGGGGGUCCAGGCGGCCGUGGUACUUCUGCCCACCCUGGUUGCCCUCCGCUGCAGCACCUUGUGUCCCGCGACCAGUAGCCGACCGCCAGGCUCCAGUCUGUGUCUGCCAAGGACGCAUCUUCCCAACACUUCCCCGUGACAACCUCAGGUGGAAGCAAUUUCACCGUCUUGUAACUCACCGGGUCAUUAUAAUUAGUAUCCCGGCGCCCAGGGCGAGGGCGGAAGAAAGGAAAGAAAAGACUCGAUCCAGCCAGGCGAAGAGCAGCAGCCUCUGGGGGCUGGGGCGGCCUUUCCUCCUGCUCCAGCUCGUAACUCAGAUUUUCUCAGGACUGAUUCCAUCACGUCCCUCCCCUCCGUGUGUGCAAGUCUUCCCAGCUCAGCAGAGCCAGGCCUGUCUCCAUGAAGAACCCGAGCCUGGAGCGGAGGAGACUCAUUGGUGUCAGCAGCAGUGCCAGGAGGCAACCCUCGGUCUCUCAGGUGAUGGGGCCUGGCCCCUCUCUGCUGAGUGUGGGACAGAGCACCACGGGCCUCCUGCAGAGCCUGGAGGAGGCUGGGAGCAUCUGAGCUGGUCACGGUCAGUGAUCUGACCAGUGCUGCCCCAGCCCCCUGGGCCAUGAUGUUCCCAACAUCUCCUGACUCAGAAACUGCUUUGAGACGCUCACAACCCACUUUGUGAGUGACCUUCCCAGAAGUGGAACUGAGCAGAAGCUCUCGAGAUCACAUUUGCCUCCUCACACUCACUCUAAUGAAACCCGACACUUAGUAGUGGGGAACAGGACUCAGAAAUGGGGACCCUAGGGCCGGUGGGCCAAAGGGAACAGAGACUGGACAGAUGCACCCAACAUUUCUCUUGCUGGACUCUGUCUUGCCUGACCCAGGGAAUGCCUGGAAUCCAGCAUCCUGACCCUGUCCCAGCCAUGAGCCCUGGGCAAAGGUGCAGGGACCAUGUUCUCUGCAGAGCCAAGCAUGCCCUGACUAGGUGCUCGGGCAAAUGUCUGGUGAACUUGCAGGAAUAAAAGCUGGUUUUCACUCAGUGCUAGAGUGCGCUGUACUUUGUGAUCUUGCAUAGUUCCUAUGAUGGGGAGGUCACUACCUAAUCAAGUUUCAGAUCUUAGUUUGGUUUUCUAGAAGUUGACCCUGAAGCAAGGAUUCAAGCACACCUAGCUUAUUGGGGACGUGACCUGGAAAAUAAUGGUAGAGGG
ensembl:lncRNA